rnacentral:antisense_RNA from 2 species
UGUGGGAGCGAGCUUGCUCGCGAUAGCGGUGGUUCAGUCACCAUUGAUAUUGACUGGCAUGGCCUCAUCGCGAGCAAGCUCGCUCCCACA